GGGGGCGUGGCUCAGUGGAAGAGCCUCUUCUUGGCUUGUGGAAGCUCCCGGGUUCAAUCCUUGGUACCUCCA
rnacentral:tRNA from 1 species